rnacentral:rRNA from 1 species
ACGGGUGAGUAACACGUGGGAACGUGCCCUUUGGUUCGGAACAACUCAGGGAAACUUGAGCUAAUACCGAAUGUGCCCUUCGGGGGAAAGAUUUAUCGCCAUUGGAGCGGCCCGCGUCUGAUUAGCUAGUUGGUAGGGUAAAGGCCUACCAAGGCUACGAUCAGUAGCUGGUCUGAGAGGAUGAUCAGCCACACUGGGACUGAGACACGGCCCAGACUCCUACGGGAGGCAGCAGUUAGGAAUCUUGCGCAAUGGGCGAAAGCCUGACGCAGCCAUGCCGCGUGAAUGAUGAAGGUCUUAGGAUUGUAAAAUUCUUUCAGCGGGGACGAUAAUGACGGUACCCGCAGAAGAAGCUCCGGCUAACUUCGUGCCAGCAGCCGCGG